rnacentral:lncRNA from 1 species
AUGUCUGCCGAACCUAUUCGCUCGGUUUUAGGCUCCGUUUCGACGGAUGACACCUCGCUGGUCCUGCCGUCCGACAAGACUCAACGGAGGGGUCAGGAGCGCGUGCAGGAGCAGGUCAAGAGCAUUCGAAGGAAGACGAAGAUUGUCAAGAAUGACUCCAUCCCGUCGCCGACAACUCCAGCAUCAGCGACAGAAUACAGUGAGCCUAAAUUCCAGUUCUCACCGGCAAAAGUGAACAACACACUCUUCAGAUUUAGUGGUUCCAACAUGACUACAACCCAGAACAGAAUGACUGGUCGCAGCGUGUCAGUGCGCCACACUGUGAAAAGGCAGACCCAAAACAGCCAGUGGGACUCUCGGAUGUCUUGGAAUGCUCAGUCUAAGCCCAAUGGGAUGAAGCUCAGUGGCAGCGACCCUUCCUUAAAUAAGAUAGCUACCCAGAAUUCUGUGGAAAGAGUCGCUACCAUACGACAGAAUCGUUCUGUACAAUCUAUGAAAGUGAAGAAUUCUCCUCCGGUUGCUGCCAACCAAGCACAGACAAUCACAAAAGUCAUCAAGACCAAAUCAGAAGCGCCGGGGUGAGUGUGCAGAAAAUGCAUGUUGUGGUUUGUUUACGGUUUUUUUGUUCUUGGUCACAGUUUUCUUAUGAAUUUGUCACUUUACCUGUGUGUCUCUGCCAUAUCUCUGAACUUAAAGUGUGAAUGGAGCCAUGGGAGUGAUGCCCAACAUCACUCUGCAGGAAGCAGUGGAUUAUCUGACACACGAAGACAUCAGUCAUCAGCUGUGUGGAGCUUCAUUCAUACAGCACAACACCUUCACAGAGGACACGGCCAAACAAGAGGUCAGGACACUGACUCGUGUAGCUGAAGCAAGACUAUAGUAUCUAUUAAACUUGUUCAUGUUUUGUCUAUCUUUCUCUGUCAGUCUGUUUUGUU